GAUGAACGCUGGCGGCGUGCCUAAUACAUGCAAGUCGAGCGAACAGAUGAGGAGCUUGCUCCUCUGACGUUAGCGGCGGACGGGUGAGUAACACGUGGAUAACCUACCUAUAAGACUGGGAUAACUUCGGGAAACCGGAGCUAAUACCGGAUAAUAUAUUGAACCGCAUGGUUCAAUAGUGAAAGACGGUUUUGCUGUCACUUAUAGAUGGAUCCGCGCCGCAUUAGCUAGUUGGUAAGGUAACGGCUUACCAAGGCAACGAUGCGUAGCCGACCUGAGAGGGUGAUCGGCCACCCUGGAGCUGAGCCACGGUCAAGACUCCUACGGGAGGCAGCAGUAGGCAAUCUGCCGCAAUGGGCGAAAGCCUGACGGAGCAACGCCGCGCGAGUGAUGAAGGUCUUCGGAGCGUAAAACUCUGUUACUAGUGAAGAACAAAUGUGGAAGUAACUAUGCACGUCUUGACGGUACCUAAUCAGAAAGCCCCGGCUAACUACGUG
rnacentral:rRNA from 1 species